CGGAGGAUCCGAGCGUUAUCCGGAAUUAUUGGGUUUAAAGGGUGCGUAGGCGGCCAUUUAAGUCAGCGGUGAAAUUUGCAGCUUAACUGUAACAGUGCCGUUGAUACUGUUUGGCUAGGAUUUGGUUGUAGUGUGCGGAAUGUGUGGUGUAGCGGUGAAAUGCUUAGAUAUCACACAGAACACCGAUUGCGAAGGCAGCACACUAAGUCAUUAUUGACGCUGAGGCACGAAAGUGUGGGGAUCAAACAGGAUUAGA
rnacentral:rRNA from 1 species